AUGAGAAUGUCAGGAGGGAGGAGUUAUUUUCACUUAUCUGUCAGGUUUUGAAGAUGGAAGGUAGUUAUCUGUGAUUUUUCCCACUAGAAUGCCAUAUAUUGCUCAGAAUGUGGAAAUGAAGCAUGCUGAAAACAGAGUGGCUUGUGCCAGGCUUGUAGAAAGCAGUAUGGAUUGAGAAGAAUUAGAGAAGAGCAUGGUAGCUGGUACUGGAGAGUUAUCAAGGUACAAGACUUGCUUGAAGAAAACUGGACGUGCUAAUACUUUAGUUUCAGAGGUGACAAGAUUUGAUGGAAAGAAGUUAGACAUUGUAGACAGCAUUGGUGAUCGUUUGGAUGACAUAAACGAAGCAUGCGAUUGCAGUGUCAGUCGUUCAUUUGGAUGGAAAUAGUUCAAAGUUUUGGUGCUGCAAUUGCAGCGGCAAGAAUUUCUACAUCCUCGUUCAAAGGUUCCCGCCAGAUCUUGCAAGGCCUUUGUAAAUUGGACAAUAGGUUAUACCUUUCCACUCAAGAACAACAGAGACUCAUUAUACAACUGUGCUGACAGUUAGUCAUUCCAGUGAUUUCCAAGCAAAAAUGUAUGGAUGGUGAUGUGGUAGACAAUUGUUCUCUUAAGGAGUGAAGAUCAAUCUUCUAGGAAGCAAUAGGUGACAGAGUAGAUGAAGAGGAAGCAGACAUCAUCUCGUUGGAAAAAGAACAACAUGGUUCCCUGUCGUUUUUGUGAGAAUGUCAAAAGGAAGAAAUUACUGUCACUCGGCAGGCAAGUUUCGCAGAUGAAGAUGGUCAUCAAUUAUAGUUAUUUUGCUCAUUAAUUUGCACUAGCAUUGAUGGAGGCUUCUCAAACAUCAUGUAGAAAAACUGAAAGUGUUAUGGUUCUGUAGUGCUCGGAAUGCAGAAAUGAAGGUAAUGAUUUGGCUAAACUUUUUGUUAGCCUGUUUCGAUUUUUUUUUUUCUUUAUCUAUCUUCUGGAAAUGUAAUUUGGUUAAGAAGAAGAGAAGAUUUGAUGAUGGAAGCUAGAUGUUGAAGAUAGCAGUAACAGUCAUUGGGAAAGCAAAAGCAAAGCAUGUAGUGGGAUGGCAGAAAUUCAAAGAUUAUGUGCUGCCAAGAAUAUGUAUUCACAUGCAAGGGUUUCUAAGCCCUCGUUCAAAGGUUCAAGGAAGCACUGCCGCUAGAUCAUGCAAUGUCUUUCACAAUUGGACAAUGGACUAUACAUUUCCACCCAAAAAUAAGAGAGAUUCAUGAUGCGCUUCUGCUAACAGUUGAUUAUUCCAGGUGUUGAAUUUGUCAAGGUAAACUAACAUACAUUUACCAUAACACCUUGUUGGGUUUUAACUUAUUUUUUUUAUUUGAAUAGUAGAAUGUUAGAAAUUUUUAACUUAAAUAAGCAAUAAACAAGUGCUUUUCAAGAAUUUUUCAAUCUUGCAUGCACAGUCUGUCAAUCUCUAUCAUAUGCCAAGCAUGUUCAUGUUUUGCUUUUGAAGUCAAUUUAGUUCUCUAAUCAGUAUAGUGCUUGUGAUAAUCUGGUCCACAAGCCAAUUUAGUCCUUGGAUGUUUAAUUGCAUCUCUAGUUCUUGUACAUCAAUACUCUUUUGCUCCGGUUCGUGUAUUGCUCAGGUCCACACCUUGCAAAUUGUAUCUGUUGACGUCAUCGUCAUUUGACCAAAUCUAGUUCGCUUUAUCUAGUUCAUCAGUACUAUACUGUUAUUUGUCCACUCCUUUGUGUAUAUUUUUGGUUAUUUGU